rnacentral:lncRNA from 1 species
GCUAGAGGUUCUUUUCUAGUCUUACUCAAUGGUUUCUGAUAUGCCGUUAAGAGCCUGCAAACGAUAAUUUGGCCUUUUAACGUUUACAGUGUUAAGGACUUUAAGGUAAAAGAGACAAUGGAAAUCAUUGGGGAUUAACAGCAGGGCUAUGUAAUGAUUCUUGAUAUAGCAAACCUUUCUUUCCUUGUUCACUGAUAAAAAUAUUUUAUCAGUAAAUAAAGCACUCAAUUCAAAUGCUUACAAUUUUAAAUUUUAAAAGGACAUCCAGAAUUGAUGAAAUAAUCCAAGUGUUUCUCAUUGUAUUUUCGCCAACUGAAAUGAUACC